rnacentral:rRNA from 1 species
GUAGUCAUAUGCUUGUCUCAAAGAUUAAGCCAUGCAUGUCUAAGUAUAAGCAAUUAUACCGCGAAACUGCGAAUGGCUCAUUAAAUCAGUUAUCGUUUAUUUGAUAGUACCUUACUACAUGGAUAACCGUGGUAAUUCUAGAGCUAAUACAUGCUAAAAAUCCCGACUUCGGAAGGGAUGUAUUUAUUAGAUUAAAAACCAAUGCCCUUCGGGGCUCUCUGGUGAUUCAUAAUAACUUCUCGAAUCGCACGGCCUUGCGCCGGCGAUGGUUCGUUCAAAUUUCUGCCCUAUCAACUUUCGACGGCUGGGUCUUGGCCAGCCGUGGUGACAACGGGUAACGGGGAAU